GAUGAACGCUGGCGGCGUGCCUAAUACAUGCAAGUCGAGCGAACAGACGAGGAGCUUGCUCCUCUGACGUUAGCGGCGGACGGGUGAGUAACACGUGGAUAACCUACCUAUAAGACUGGUAUAACUUCGGGAAACCGGAGCUAAUACCGGAUAAUAUAUUGAACCGCAUGGUUCAAUAGUGAAAGACGGUUUUGCUGUCACUUAUAGAUUGAUCCGCGCCGCAUUAGCUAGUUGGUAAGGUAACGGCUUACCAAGGCAACGAUGCGUAGCCGACAUGAGAGGGUGAUCGGCCACACGGGAACUGAGACACGGACCAGAAUACUACGGGAGGCAGCAGUAGGGAAUCUUCCGCAAUGGGCGAAAGCCUGACGGAGCAACGCCGCGUGAGUGAUGAAGGUCUUCGGAUCGUAAAACUCUGUUAUUAGGGAAGAACAAAUGUGUAAGUAACUAUGCACGUCUUGACGGUACCUAAUCAGAAAGCCACGGCUAACUACGUG
rnacentral:rRNA from 1 species